GCAUUAAUGGGGUAGUGGUAACCUGGGUCGUUGCCAUUAGACAAUGUCGACCCGCCGGGAGUUCGAUUCUCUCUUAAUGCA
rnacentral:tRNA from 1 species